rnacentral:rRNA from 1 species
ACUCGUGAGAGUUUGAUCCUGGCUCAGAGCGAACGCUGGCGGCAGGCUUAACACAUGCAAGUCGAACGUGAAGCCGGACUUCGGUCCGGGGGAAAGUGGCGCACGGGUGAGUAACGCGUGGGAAUCUACCCAGCAGUACGGAAUAACUCCGGGAAACCGGUGCUAAUACCGCAUACGCCCCGAGGGGGAAAGAUUUAUCGCUGUUGAGAUGAGCCCGCGUCGGAUUAGCUUGUUGGUGGGGUAAUGGCCCACCAAGGCUCCGAUCCGUAGCUGGUCUGAGAGGAUGAUCAGCCACACUGGGACUGAGACACGGCCCAGACUCCUACGGGAGGCAGCAGU